AUGAACGCUGGCGGCGUGCCUAAUACAUGCAAGUCGAGCGAACGGACGAGAAGCUUGCUUUUCUGAUGUUAGCGGCGGACGGGUGAGUAACACGUGGAUAACCUACCUAUAAGACUGGGAUAACUUCGGGAAACCGGAGCUAAUACCGGAUAAUAUUUUGAACCGCAUGGUUCAAAAGUGAAGGACGGUCUUGCUGUCACUUAUAGAUGGAUCCGCGCUGCAUUAGCUAGUUGGUAAGGUAACGGCUUACCAAGGCAACGAUGCAUAGCCGACCUGAGAGGGUGAUCGGCCACACUGGAACUGAGACACGGUCCAGACUCCUACGGGAGGCAGCAGUAGGGAAUCUUCCGCAAUGGGCGAAAGCCUGACGGAGCAACGCCGCGUGAGUGAUGAAGGUCUUCGGAUCGUAAAACUCUGUUAUUAGGGAAGAACAUAUGUGUAAGUAACUGUGCACAUCUUGACGGUACCUAAUCAGAAAGCCACGGCUAACUACGUG
rnacentral:rRNA from 1 species